CCUACGGGUGGCAGCAGUGGGGAAUAUUGCACAAUGGGGGAAACCCUGAUGCAGCGACGCCGCGUGAGUGAAGAAGUAUCUCGGUACGUAAAGCUCUAUCAGCAGGGAAGAAAAUGACGGUACCUGACUAAGAAGCCCCGGCUAACUACGUGCCAGCAGCCGCGGUAAUACGUAGGGGGCAAGCGUUAUCCGGAUUUACUGGGUGUAAAGGGAGCGUAGGUGGAUUGUUAAGUCAGUUGUGAAAGUUUGCGGCUCAACCGUAAAAUUGCAGUUGAAACUGGCAGUCUUGAGUACAGUAGAGGUGGGCGGAAUUCGUGGUGUAGCGGUGAAAUGCUUAGAUAUCGAGAGGAACACUCGUGGCGAAGGCGGGUUCCUGGACAUUAACUGACGCUGAGGCACGAAGGCCAGGGGAGCGAAAGGGAUUAGAUACCCUAGUAGUC
rnacentral:rRNA from 1 species